GGCAUCCAAAGGCAGGAGUAUGGCACUCCUGAAGCGAUAAGGAUUCGGAAUUAGGGUGUGUGUAAAUGCAAAAUGUUUACAAAGCUCUUUUUCGACUGGUUCGAAUAAAACUGGGAUUGAAUCGACAACUAUUAUACUGUUAAAACUAAAGUUGGAUUAAGGACUAAAAUUGAAAAACAGUGGAAGAAAUGAUAAGCAAUCAAAUACAGUUCGACCAUUAGUCCAGUCCAUUCGACCAGUUUAUGAAGGAACGCCCUAACAGGAACACGGACAAUGCAAAAUUCAAUAAAAGUCCAGCUCAAAUUGAGUGAACACCAGCCUUCCAUAAACCUCAGUAACUAGAGAUGGGGAGAAUAUGUGAACGCUGUGGUUGUUUCCCAAUUGCUCCAUUCGAAAAUUGAAGUUGCUGUUCAGAAAUCCCUUCUGGGCUGAAAAGAAUAACACAUCCGAAUGUUCUCCUCCGGCAAAGUUCACCAUAUCCAUCGGUAGUGGGUGGUUCUCCCAGCUCCAGCCACUACAACCACCAGACAAGCAGCGGGAUGCUCAGACAGAGACGAAAGCACCGACCGACAGAGCCCCCAAUCGAAGUGGGUUUCGUUCCUAUGUAGCUGCAUUCAUGGAGUCUGUUGUCGUUAUGGAAGCACACUUGACAAGCACGAGUAUUGCUCCGAUUGCAAUGGAAUACUUACAGCAUGAUGGGCCGGGCAUGGAUGGAGGAUGCAACUGUAUUAUUCAUUCCAGAUGAGUGCAAUUGCACUUGUGCUACGUACUUCCCCGAUCAAAACAUGAAUAAAAUUGGCAAAACUAAUUGAAACAACAUUUUUGCUCGUAGUUA